rnacentral:piRNA from 1 species
UAGAUAAAGCGUGCAAGCAAUCAUUUG